ACGGAGGGUGCAAGCGUUAAUCGGAAUUACUGGGCGUAAAGCGCGCGUAGGCGGUUUGGUAAGCGGGGUGUGAAAUCCCCGGGCUCAACCUGGGAACUGCAUCCCGAACUGCCAGACUAGAGUACAGUAGAGGUGAGUGGAAUUUCCUGUGUAGCGGUGAAAUGCGUAGAUAUAGGAAGGAACAUCAGUGGCGAAGGCGACUCACUGGACUGAUACUGACGCUGAGGUGCGAAAGCGUGGGUAGCAAACAGG
rnacentral:rRNA from 1 species